rnacentral:lncRNA from 1 species
GUCUCAUCCUCAUCACAAACAUUCAGAGCCCCUAAUGUAACGUCGCUGCCGGUGGCAAGUCUCCAAAUAGCCUGAAAUUUACACACCUAAAUCCCCAUGAACUCCUCUUUUCAAGCCCCAUAACUCCAUGGCUCAAAUCAUACCAGAGCUUCUCGAAUGAUCGAUCUUGUGACUGCCAUCUCCGCCGCCCACGGUGGCGCUUACGCCGAUUACCGCCAAAACAACAUCCUAGAUUCCUCUCGUCGUCCUCUCUUUAUAUCUCACCUUAGUUUCCCUUGAAUCCCCACCCAGAGUCUCGAAUCUCGGUAUGACAUUCUACCCAAAACCCUAAGUUCUUCAUACAUCCUUAAAUCCACACCCCCACAGUCCCCAUGACUCCCUCACCUCGAAUCACUAGCCAAAAACUCUCGAAUCUCACCAGGCCAUCUCUAAUUUCGCAUCUUGGGUUUUCGAGUUCUUCUGCCGUUUGGAGAUUCAAUCAUUCGAAUGAUUUUAAUUAAUAUUAUGAGUUUAUUUUUGACAAGAUAAACCUAUAAUAUUAAUUAAAAUUCAAUUCCAUAAAAUCAAUUGAGUUCGAAGACCAAAUCAGUAAGCCUUUUCUCAUUUUUAGUUAAUUUUUGUUUGAUUCAUAAUUUGUCUGUUUAAUUAAUCAUAGUUUUAAUUUCCAAAUCAUUUUAAUUGAUAGUUUGGUUAGAUACAAUUUCUGUUAGUUAAUUGUUAGCUAGAUGUUUAGGUUAGUUUCCAUUCCUUUAGUUCUGAGUUGAUGUUUAAAUGUUCAAUUGUUAGCUUAUUUGUUAAAUGUUAGUUUAAUUUCAUUUAGUUUCGAUUGUUAGUCGAAGCUUAGUAUUUUUUUAUCUUUGAAUCCAGUCGAAGCUUUGUAUUUUUUGAUCUUUGAAUCUUGAUUUUAAAUCAAGUCUGUGUGACCGAAUAGUUAUGUUUUUUUAGUUCAAUUAGUUAAUUUCUGAGUUUCCAUUAAUAAGUCUUAGUUAGUUUUGAAUUGGUUUAGUACUUGGUUAUAGCUGUUGUAGGUUUAAUUAGAAUCAGUAAUUUCAGGGGACUUUCAGGGGUAGUUUAGGCAUGGAAAAAGGGCAUUUUUGUUAAGAAUGGUAAUUUCAAAACAAGAGCAAGGGUAAUAUAGGUAUUAUAUAGGUAGAAGAACAUCCUAGGGCCUUCUAGAGUACGACUUUAGUGAAGAUUCCAGCUAACUUAGGACAGUAGCUUGGGUAACAAUUUAAUAAAUGAGGGACUAAUGUAAAAAUGAAGAGGGACUGAAAAGAAAACUAAAAAAUCUGAUUAUUCCCUCUUAUGUUGCCUAUAAAUUGGCAUUAUCAUGCCUUAAAAGCGGGGUCUUCUUGUGAGCGAUAAAACAAUCCUCUCCAAAUAGCCUUUUCUUUCCAGUUUUCAUAUCCUGUUUUAAAAAUUCAAAAGUUAAAAAUUCAAAAACGGUAGAAAACAAAAUAAAAAUCUUCGAGAAAAAUCAAAAAUACAUUGUUACAUUGAAUCUUAGGCAAAUCAUUCAGUUAAAAUAAAAAAUACACUGUUACAUUGAAUCUUAGGCAAAUCAUUCAGUCAUAUUUCUCUUCUGUUUACUAAAAGUUCUUCUGGAGCUUUGUUGUUGUUUAAUCGACUGGUUUUGGGUCAAUCAAGAUGGUUUGAGUGAAUUUGGUAGACUAAUUUGGGAUUUGAGUUAUUUGCUGAGUUCGGUUUGGUUCAGUAUUGGGUGUUGUGGUUAGAUUGGUUGUUUCUGUGUGGAUUUUUGAAAUACCUUUGAACCGACUUGUUCUUGACUGCCUGUGAUCAUCUCUGUUGCAUUGUUGCCGUUAAUAUCUUUUUCUGCCUCCUAUUUCGUUUUCCAGGUACACAGCUUGACUUUGAUAGCUAGGAGAUAAAAUGUGAAAUGUGAACUUGUAGUUGAAGCAUGAAAUGCAAUUUGAUUCAGUUUUGGAGCUGUGUAUUUGAAUAUGUAGUCUGUUAAUGAUAGUUGAUUUUACAUUUGAAUUUUGAUCUAGAUGGAUGGAAACUGGCCAUGUAAUAACUAACUGAAAUCGUUUUUUUGUACUGUCUAGGCUAAUAAUUAUUCUGUUGCAAAUACACGUGAACUUUUUUUUGAGUUUUGAGUGUUAAUCAGGUUAAGCUUUAGCUCGUUUUUUAUCAAGUUGUAUUCAUAAAUAUGUUUGAAAGGUAACUCAGUGAUGAGGCCAGUCUUAAGUAAUUGAAUUUCAGUGUGGUUUGUAAUUAAAUGAAACUGUUAAUUAGGAUUCUGGGUUGAUCAUAGUUGGAAAUAUAAUUUGAGUCAAAAUCGUUUUAGUUUGUGUUAGUGAUACUGUAGUUCAAAUCUUUGUUUUAAUUUCCAGCAUAAGUGUCAUUUAGGAAGUGAAGUUCAACAUGUCAAUAUCUAUUUGAUUUGGGAUAAUUACGUUUAAAUAAACCGUUAGUUUGCUAUUCUACAGCCUCGAUCUUUGUUAAAUAAAUCUUUGUUAAUUAGGAGAGGAUCGAUACUAGCUGAUUGAGUUCGCCUGGUUUGGGCUAAUUUCAGGCCCAGUGACCAUGGCCAUGUGAUACCCAAACC